rnacentral:lncRNA from 1 species
CCACCCCCAGUUUAUUACUACAACUCUCCUCCCCCACCACCGCCUUCACCAUCACCAUCACCUCCGCCACCAGUUUAUUACUAUAAUUCUCCGCCCCCACCAUCACCUCCGCCACCGGCACUACCCCCACCAUCACCAUCACCUCCACCACCAGUUUAUUAUUAUAAUUCACCACCCCCGCCAUCUCCUUCACCCCCUCCUCCCGUCUACUAUCAUUCACCACCCCCACCAUCUCCAUCACCCCCGCCCCCAUCACCGUCACCACCACCGCCAACUCCAGUAUAUGAAGGGCCAUUACCACCAGUUAUAGGAGUUUCAUAUGCUUCUCCACCUCCACCUCCCUUCUAUUGAUUCUUUAAGAAAAUUUCUCUCUAACUCAUCCUCAAAACACAAAAUUAUACCUACAGUAGAUUGAAGUUGUGGAGAAUAAAUUUGGCAAAGAAAAGAUUGCAGCUUUGCAGGGAAAUUGUAUUGUAUAGAGAUGAUCAUAAUCUGGACUAGAAAAGCCAGUUUACAGUGCUUGUUGUAACUGGUUUCCUCCUUUUUUUUGGUGAGUUUUAUUGUUAUUAUUCAGUUUUUUUUUUCUUUUAACCUUUUUAAUGAAUCAUACUUUGGUUUCUUUGUCUCUAUUUUGGUCUUCCAUAAUAAUAAUAGGAGUAAUAGUAUAGUGAUGAGCAUUUUUUAUUUGUAUUGAUUCUCAGAAUUCAGAUCAUAUUUUUCUAUUUCUUAUGGGUGUUCUUGUUUAUGUUCCUUUCUCCUUUUGUUAUUGUAGCAUCUUCUUGAUCUUGAAUUAUCCUAAUUGCAUUUAUUUCAAUUAAAGUUUUGGUCUUUUGGGUAGUUGGUUUAUAUCAAUGCUGAAGGUGGAAAUUUAUGUGCUUUGAUCAUUGAAUAUCAAUUUCUGCCACCUUUGGUGGUUAAUUGUUGGACUUGGUUGUGGUCCUCCAAGGGGUCGUUUCGUAUGCGGGAUAAGGUGUGAGAUUAAAUUUAUACCAUGUUUGAUUGAUGGUAUAAAUUUAUCCCAAUCUUAAUACAUGAUAUCCCACCUUAUCUCAUCUUAUACCACCA